rnacentral:rRNA from 1 species
GAUGAACGCUGGCGGCGUGCCUAAUACAUGCAAGUCGAGCGAACGGACGAGAAGCUUGCUUCUCUGAUGUUAGCGGCGGACGGGUGAGUAACACGUGGAUAACCUACCUAUAAGACUGGGAUAACUUCGGGAAACCGGAGCUAAUACCGGAUGAUAUUUUGAACCGCAUGGUUCAAAAGUGAAAGACGGUCUUGCUGUCACUUAUAGAUGGAUCCGCGCUGCAUUAGCUAGUUGGUAAGGUAAUGGCUUACCAAGGCAACGAUGCAUAGCCGACCUGAGAGAGUGAUCGGCCACACUGGAACUGAGACACGGUCCAGACUCCUACGGGAGGCAGCAGUAGGGAAUCUUCCGCAAUGGGCGAAAGCCUGACGGAGCAACGCCGCGUGAGUGAUGAAGGUCUUCGGAUCGUAAAACUCUGUUAUUAGGGAAGAACAUAUGUGUAAGUAACUGUGCACAGCUUGACGGUACCUAAUCAGAAAGCCACGGCUAACUACGUG